AUGUCCUUAGUUAUCUCUUCCCUGGACCAUUGCAAUGGCCUCCUAACUGGUCUUCCCAUCUCCAUUCUCUCCUCUUUCAUAGCCUUCCUGUGCUGUUAUGUUAAUCAUGCCUUUACAAAAAACUACAUUGUCCACCAAAUGAGUAGAAUUAGCCAGAAUCAGAGCAAGAAGCCCACUGAGCCACAGGAGGUCUGCCUGGACCACAAGGUGGUAUCGUAUGCUCCAGAUGUCAUUUUUUUCAAGUUAUCUUAUUAUUUCAGAAAUCUGAUUUCUUUAGUGCAGGUAUGACUUCCAUUGAUUUGCUGUCAACCCUCUGGAAUUUGGUUGACAGUCUUCAAGAAUUUGUGUGGCUGAAAAGUUAAUCACUCUACAGUCAACCUAGCCUCUAUGAACUUAGCAUAGUUGGUCCUCAGCCAAGUCAUCUAGCCUAUAAUCGAGCCUUUCUUUGAGGUCUUGAACUCUGCUUGGAAAGCAGCAAGAGGCAUUAAGGGUAAGACCUGGAGGAAGUUUAAAGAUACCACGCUAAUAAACAUAUUUUGAAUGAAUGAAGUGCUUCCUUA
ensembl:lncRNA